UAGGGAAUCUUCGGCAAUGGACGAAAGUCUGACCGAGCAACGCCGCGUGAGUGAAGAAGGUUUUCGGAUCGUAAAACUCUGUUGGUAGAGAAGAACGUUGGUGAGAGUGGAAAGCUCAUCAAGUGACGGUAACUACCCAGAAAGGGACGGCUAACUACGUGCCAGCAGCCGCGGUAAUACGUAGGUCCCGAGCGUUGUCCGGAUUUAUUGGGCGUAAAGCGAGCGCAGGUGGUUUAUUAAGUCUGGUGUAAAAGGCAGUGGCUCAACCAUUGUAUGCAUUGGAAACUUGUAGACUUGAGUGCAGGAGAGGAGAGUGGAAUUCCAUGUGUAGCGGUGAAAUGCGUAGAUAUAUGGAGGAACACCGGUGGCGAAAGCGUCUCUCUGGCCUGUAACUGACACUGAGGCUCGAAAGCGUGGGGAGCAAACA
rnacentral:rRNA from 1 species